UCCUUCACUAAGCAUACAAGUAGUUUCCUUUGGCGUUUACAACAUCUCGAGUCUAAACAGGGAAGGUAAUCACGUAGCUGAGUAGACCGAUACUUUACACGGCUCUUACCUGUUUGGUCAUAUCUAAGGAUCGCAGACUAAUCGCAGUUUAUUCAAUGUAAAUCUAAUAGGGAUGUAUAGGGGAGACCGGGGAUGGUUGUAACACUUGCAAUUACUCCAAGCGGGAGCGAGGUAGAAUCCUACUGUUCACAUGCUGUUUAGUAUUGACGCCUCAUGUGAAAAACAUUCCUGGAUAAUGGAAAAGAAAGACAGACCUCUCCACACUUUGGACAAAGCGUCAAAAGCAGAGUGGGGGGGGGGAGGCCAUUCAGGGCCCAAGAAAAUUGCAACAAGGGGUAGGAAGAGGAGAAAAACUGUGACUUUUGAUGGUGGAAAACUGCUGGAAAGAAGCAAGCCAAGACAAACCACACUGAAACACAUUUAAAAAACUGUCCUGCCUAAGAAAAAAGCCAAAACAAAGCAGAUUGAACCAGAAAAUUCAGAUUCUUCCAAUGAAGAACACUUCUGCAUUUUGUGCACGAGUCCAAGGAGGUCUGGGUGUUGCUGGGAAAUCAAAUUAUGGGCCCACCAAGCCUGUACCCCGGGACAGCCAUACAUACCACUGUCACAACUGUGACUCUUGAUUAAGUGAACAUGUCCAACAUUGUCACACACAGCCACGCACGCAAACACACACGUUCAGGUGUUUAAUUUAGUCUUGCUGUUUGGUUGAGAACCAUUUAGGAGAGUGAAAUAAUACAUAUUAUUUCUGCCAAACAAAAGGUAAACUUGGCAACGUUGCUCUCAUGGUCUCAAAAGCAUUCAAUAAUUAGUUGCAUGUCAUGAUAUGCACUUUUUAAUUCUGUUACAAUUCACCCCAUGGUCUGGUUUAGUUGUAACAUUUCACUCCUUGUAUUUAAGACACCAUGCAUUGGCAGUUUGAUUUACAUAUAUGACCAUACCAAUUUGUAAAGGACAGAUGUUGGUUGUUUGUAUCAAGUUCUGAAUACACUCCCAUAAACAAUCGCUGAGAAACAGGGAAGGGUUACAACCAUCCCUGGUCUCCCUUACCCAUUUCUAUAUAAAUCAGAACUAUGCUAAUCUGGUAUUGGGUCUCUUGGGCAUUGCUGCAUAAACUAAGUAUUCACUAUUUCAUGUAUGCCUGGACUAUGUCACUUGAGGCAAUUAUUUUUAGAUGUGUAAUUUUUCCACAUUGAAGUAAACCCCUUCCACCAUUUCUUUAUUCUGAUUAAAUGGGAUUUGAGUCAACCAAGUUGAAGAGUGCCAUUUCUGCAACAUAUCUCAGUGUGUAGGCUAAAGUCAUAUCUCAGUGUGUAGGCUAAAGUCAUAUCUUAGUGUGUAGGCUAAAGUCACUGACAAAACUAUACCGUGCAUCAUAGCCGCAGGAUGUAGGGGUAUGAGGGUUCUGCAGCAAAUCAUAAAAAUAAAAAAUAAAAAUCACACAAAAAAAAUGCACUGGACCUUUAAGUCCUUUAUUAAACAGACCAAUAGAGCUGUCUGCAACGCAGGCAACAUAGUUCCCACCCCCAAACUACUCCCUUCCAAGAAAAUUGAAAUCGCAGCACCCCCCCCAUCCCACUUCUCGCAGCUAUGCUGUGCAUUCAA